ACCAGCAUGGCGUAGUGGUUUGAGUUUUGGACUACGACUCUAGAGACCAGGGUUCGAUUCCCAGCUCAGCCC
rnacentral:tRNA from 1 species